rnacentral:rRNA from 1 species
UACGUAGGGUGCAAGCGUUGUCCGGAAUUAUUGGGCGUAAAGAGCUCGUAGGCGGUUUGUCGCGUCGAAUGUGAAAACCCGGGGCUCAACCCCGGGCCUGCAUUCGAUACGGGCAGACUAGAGUUCGGUAGGGGAGUCUGGAAUUCCUGGUGUAGCGGUGAAAUGCGCAGAUAUCAGGAGGGACACCGGUGGCGAAGGCGGGACUCUGGGCCGAUACUGACGCUGAGGAGCGAAAGCGUGGGGAGCAAACAGG